rnacentral:rRNA from 1 species
GGUAGUAGCAAAUAUUCAAAUGAGAGCUUUGAAGACCGAAGUGGAGAAAGGUUACAUGUGAACAGCAGUUGGACAUGGGUUAGUCGAUCCUAAGAGAUAGGGAAAUUCCGUUUGCAAGCGCCCGAUCUUGGGCCGCCUAUCGAAAGGGAAUCGGGUUAAUAUUCCCGAACCGGGACGCGGAUAUUGCCGUUCGCGGCAGAUGCGGUAACGCAAACGAACCUGAAGACGCUGGCGGGGGCCCUGGGAAGAGUUCUCUUUUCUUUUUAACGAGCUUUCACCCUGAAAUCAGCUUGCCUGGAGAUAGGGUUUAAUGCUCGGUAAAGCACCACACUUCUUGUGGUGUCCGGUGCGCUCUCGACGGCCCUUGAAAAUUCGGGGAAGACAUUGAUUUUCGUGUCCGGUCGUACUCAUAACCGCAGCAGGUCUCCAAGGGUGAGCAGCCUCUGGUU